rnacentral:rRNA from 1 species
UACCAGCACCCCGAGUGGUCGGGACGUUUAUUGGGCCUAAAGCAUCCGUAGCCGGUUCUACAAGUCUUCCGUUAAAUCCAGCUGCUUAACAGAUGGGCUGCGGAAGAUACUAUGGAGCUAGGAGGCGGGAGAGGCAAGCGGUACUCGAUGGGUAGGGGUAAAAUCCGUUGAUCCAUUGAAGACCACCAGUGGCGAAGGCGGCUUGCCAGAACGCGCUCGACGGUGAGGGAUGAAAGCUGGGGAGCAAACCGGG